GUAGGUGGCAAGCGUUGUCCGGAAUUAUUGGGGCGUAAAGCGCGCGCAGGCGGUUCUUUAAGUCUGAUGUGAAAGCCCACGGGCUCAACCGUGGAGGGUCAUUGGAAACUGGAGAACUUGAGUACAGAAGAGGAAAGCGGAAUUCCUCGUGUAGCGGUGAAAUGCGUAGAGAUGUGGAGGAACACCAGUGGCGAAGGCGGCUUUCUGGUCUGUAACUGACGCUGAGGCGCGAAAGCGUGGGGAGCAAACAGGAUUAGAUACCCUGGUAGUCCACGCCGUAAACGAUGAGUGCUAAGUGUUAGGGGGUUUCCGCCCCUUAGUGCUGCAGCUAACGCAUUAAGCACUCCGCCUGGGGAGUACGGCCGCAAAGGCUG
rnacentral:rRNA from 1 species